GGUGCGGGGCUACACAUGCAGUCGUACAGGGCAACCGAUAAGCUUGCUGCUUUGCUGACGAGUGGGGGAGGGAGAGUAAUGUCUGGGAAACUGCCUGAUGGAGGGGGAUAAUUACUGGAAACGGUAGCUAAUACCGCAUAACGUCGCAAGACCAAAGAGGGGGACCUUCGGGCCUCUUGCCAUCGGAUGUGCCCAGAUGGGAUUAGCUAGUAGGUGGGGUAACGGCUCACCUAGGCGACGAUCCCUAGCUGGUCUGAGAGGAUGACCAGCCACACUGGAACUGAGACACGGUCCAGACUCCUACGGGAGGCAGCAGUGGGGAAUAUUGCACAAUGGGCGCAAGCCUGAUGCAGCCAUGCCGCGUGUAUGAAGAAGGCCUUCGGGUUGUAAAGUACUUUCAGCGGGGAGGAAGGGAGUAAAGUUAAUACCUUUGCUCAUUGACGUUACCCGCAGAAGAAGCACCGGCUAACUCCGUGCCAGCAGCCGCGGUAAUACGGAGGGUGCAAGCGUUAAUCGGAAUUACUGGGCGUAAAGCGCACGCAGGCGGUUUGUUAAGUCAGAUGUGAAAUCCCCGGGCUCAACCUGGGAACUGCAUCUGAUACUGGCAAGCUUGAGUCUCGUAGAGGGGGGUAGAAUUCCAGGUGUAGCGGUGAAAUGCGUAGAGAUCUGGAGGAAUACCGGUGGCGAAGGCGGCCCCCUGGACGAAACUGACGCUCAUGUGCGAAAGCGUGGGGAGCAAACGGGAUUAAUACCCUGGUAGUCCACGCCGUAAACAUGUCGACUUGGAGGUUGGCCCUUGAGGCGUGGCUUCCGGAGCUAACGCGUUAAGUCGACCGCCUGGGGGAGUACGGCCGCAAGGUUAAACUCAAAUGAAUUGACGUGGACCCGCCACAGCGGGGGACUUGGGGCUUAAUUUCGAUGCAACGCGAAAACUUUACCUGAUCUUGACAUCAGGGAGCUUUCAAAAAGGAAUUGUGCCUCGGAACCCGGGAGAAAAGGGGUGCAUUGUUUGUUCUUCAUCCUUGUUGGGAAAGGAUUGGUUAGUACGCACGAGGCAUCCUUACAUUGGUUGA
rnacentral:rRNA from 1 species